rnacentral:lncRNA from 1 species
GGUGUCCUGUUUAGGAUUGGAUGCCUGGCACUUCCUCUCGGCCACUCCAGGAACUCAGUGUCUAGAGGACAGCUGGCCUCGGGACAGAGAAGGGCAGUAUUCUGUUCCCACAGCCUGCAGCAUUAGACACUGGAGCUGGCCAGCAUUCCAAGGUCAUGUGUUAGAACCUAGGAGGAAGCUGAGUGGUGAGGCUGUGCCUGAGGGGCCUUCAGGACAGACACGGGCGGUACGUGCGUGCCUCAUGGCAGCUGGCUGCCCUUGGGUCUGAAGCUGGGAAGAUUUGGGGUGCCUUAAGUUGGGGUUUGGAGUAGAAGGGAAGACAUGGGAGAGCAGAACUCAUCCCAGAUUACUGAGUCUUGUAGAUGACAACUGACAGCUGAGGCUGGAGCCCUGGAGCUCUGUGGCUAAGUGCAGCAGACAGCUGAGGAAGUGGCUGGGGGGGGGGGAGGGGAGGAAGAGGAGGAGGAGGAUGAGGAGGAAGGGGAAGAGAGAGAAGGAGUGGGGGAGGAAGAGCAGGCCCUGCAGGAGUGUGGACACUCUCGUGUGGGCCUGUGCAGGGGGAGGUGGCUGUCGAGGCAGAAUGGAGUCCAGGGCUAAGAUGACAAGGUCUUCCCUGACUGCUGAGCUUGAGAAAGUGAACCCUCUCUGGCCUUUUUUCCUUGACUGGUACCUGGAGGCAGAAGAAACCCCUCUCCUCUACAGAGGCAUUGGCAGGAGGGGAGGGGAGGGGAAAGGUGGGGAGAGCAGAAAAGAGGAGGAGAGUGGGUGCAGGGAGGCCCAGCUGGCCAACCCAUUCUACGUGGUCAAUAGUGCCCUCCAUCGGGCUCCCUAGGUGUUUGAAACCACCAACGGUGAGAAUGAAAGCCAGUGCCAAGGGGCGCUGCUGUCCACUGCUAACACCAGCUGGGGAGAGCACCCAGAAAACAAGACUACUGAACCCCAAGAGGACUACAAGGAGGACUGCAGUUCCACAGGACCCUGGAUGCUGAGGGCCAGGCAGGACUUCUGAGAUUUGAACCCAGACCCAGCCAGCUGGUCUGCAUGUGGCAUUCCCCCUGAGGGCUCCAAACUCCUCAGGUCACCAAGAUCACCUCCUGGGUCCCUCUGGCCUAGGUUGGACAUUCAGGCUCAGGCUCCCAGUGUUGGUGUGUGGCCCUGGACACUCAGUCUUUUCCCUUGUGGGGCUCUGUCUGUGCCAUCCUGCUGCUCAAGAUUAUGUGGGGACUUUGAACCCUGUCACAGUCCUGAUGUGGAAAGUAAAUCUAGUGGCUUCUCAAACCCAACCUCUCAUCUUCAGCCAGGUCCCCUCCCUAACCCUCUAGCCCUUGGCCUCAUGGGGAGGAGCCUGGCGAUCCAUUUUACAAGUGGCCUGUGAGGUUGGACAAUGUUUUAGCUAGGAACUUAACUUCCGGUGUUCAUUCCUGUAUAAGCCUCCCGCACGCGACUCCCCUCCCCCUCCCCCUCCCCCUAGCCCAGCUCCGCUGAGUGACUCACUGAAAGCCUAGAUGAUCUUUGUUAGUGCCCUGGAGCUGCUGAGGAGGAUCGGGACACACAUUACAAAUGCACACACACUACACACACAUACCACACACAUACCACACACACACAGACACACAGACACACACACACACACACAGACACACACACACACACACACAGAUACUACAAACACACACACACACACACAUACACCACACAGAUAGACUACAAACACACACACACACAGAUAGACUACAAACACACACCACACACACAGACACACACACAGAUACUACAAACACACACAGACACACACACACACACACACAGACACACACACACACACACAGAUA